UGGGGAAUCUUCGGCAAUGGACGAAAGUCUGACCGAGCAACGCCGCGUGAGUGAAGAAGGUUUUCGGAUCGUAAAACUCUGUUGUUAGAGAAGAACAAGGACGUUAGUAACUGAACGUCCCCUGACGGUAUCUAACCAGAAAGCCACGGCUAACUACGUG
rnacentral:rRNA from 1 species